GGACUACCGGGGUAUCUAAUCCCGUUCGCUCCCCUAGCUUUCGCGCCACAGCGUCAGACCAAGGCCAGGAAGCCGCCUUCGCCACUGGUGUUCCUCCGGGUCUCUACGCAUUUCACCGCUACUCCCGGAGUUCCACUUCCCUCUCCUUGUCUCGAGCCCGGCCGUUACCACGGACCCUCCCCAGUUGAGCCGGGGGCUUUCACCGCGGUCGUACUCAGGGCCGCCUACGCGCUCUUUACGCCCAGUAAUUCCGGACAACGCUCGCCUCCUACGUAUUACCGCGGCGGCUGGCAC
rnacentral:rRNA from 1 species